rnacentral:rRNA from 1 species
UGAACGCUGGCGGCGUGCCUAACACAUGCAAGUCGAACGGGACUAUCAAGUGAUGUUUCGGACUGAACUUUUAGUUAGUGGCGGACGGGUGAGUAACGCGUGGACAACCUGCCUCUCACUGGGGGGAUAGCAGCUGGAAACGGCUGGUAAUACCGCAUACGUUCAAUGUGCCGCAUGACACAUUGAAGAAAGAUUUAUCGGUGAGAGAUGGGUCCGCGUCUGAUUAGCCAGUUGGCGGGGUAACGGCCCACCAAAGCGACGAUCAGUAGCCGGCCUGAGAGGGCGGACGGCCACAUUGGGACUGAGACACGGCCCAGACUCCUACGGGAGGCAGCAGUGGGGGAUAUUGCACAAUGGGCGCAAGCCUGAUGCAGCGACGCCGCCGUGAGUGAAGAAGUAUUUCGGUAUGUAAAGCUCUAUCAGCAGGGAAGAAAGGCCCGCAAGGGAGAUGACGGUACCUGACUAAGAAGCCCCGGCUAACUACGUGCCAGCCGCGGC